rnacentral:rRNA from 1 species
UUCCGGUUGAUCCUGCCGGAGGACAUUGCUAUUGGGAUUCGAUUUAGCCAUGCUAGUCGAGCGAGUUUAGACUCGCGGCGAAUAGCUCAGUAACACGUGGCCAAGCUACCCUUCAGUCAGCGAUACCCUCGGGAAACUGAGGUUAACAGCUGAUACAAAACGUUUGCUGGAAUGCGGCGUUUCAGAAAGAUCACGCUGAAGGAUGCGGCUGCGGCCGAUUAGGUAGACGGUGGGGUAACGGCCCACCGUGCCAGUAAUCGGUACGGGUGAUGAGAGUCAGAGCCCGGAGACGGAAUCUGAGACAAGAUUCCGGGCCCUACGGGGCGCAGCAGGCGCGAAACCUUUACACUGCACGGAAGUGCGAUAGGGGAAUCCCAAGUGCGAGGGCAUAUUAGCCCUCGCUUUUCUCGACUGUAAGGUGGUCGACGAAUAA